GACGAACGCUGGCGGCGUGCCUAAUACAUGCAAGUAGAACGCUGAAGGAGGAGCUUACUCUUCUGGAUGAGUUGCGAACGGGUGAGUAACGCGUAGGUAACCUGCCUGGUAGCGGGGGAUAACUAUUGGAAACGAUAGCUAAUACCGCAUAACAUUGACUAUUGCAUGAUAGUCAAUUGAAAGGUGCAAAUGCACCACUACCAGAUGGACCUGCGUUGUAUUAGCUAGUUGGUGGGGUAACGGCUCACCAAGGCGACGAUACAUAGCCGACCUGAGAGGGUGAUCGGCCACACUGGGACUGAGACACGGCCCAGACUCCUACGGGAGGCAGCAGUAGGGAAUCUUCGGCAAUGGACGGAAGUCUGACCGAGCAACGCCGCGUGAGUGAAGAAGGUUUUCGGAUCGUAAAGCUCUGUUGUAAGAGAAGAACGAGUGUGAGAGUGGAAAGUUCACACUGUGACG
rnacentral:rRNA from 1 species